AACAGUUGCUAAGACUGGAUAGGAAAUUAGAAGGCAUCUUUUAAUUUUUAAAAGACCUUUUUCGAAAGGUAUACUUAAAGAGGGGCUUGCGGCACAUUAGUUAGUUGGUAGGGUAAAAGCCUACCAAGACCAUGAUGUGUAGCUGGACUGAGAGGUUGAACAGCCACAUUGGGACUGAGACACGGCCCAAACUCCUACGGGAGGCAGCAGUAGGGAAUUUUCGGCAAUGGAGGAAACUCUGACCGAGCAACGCCGCGUGAACGAUGAAGUAUUUCGGUAUGUAAAGUUCUUUUAUUGAAGAAGAAAAAAUAGUGGAAAAACUAUCUUGACGAUAUUCAAUGAAUAAGCCCCGGCAAACUAUGUGCCAGCAGCCGCGGUAAUACAUAGGGGGCGAGCGUUAUCCGGAAUUAUUGGGCGUAAAGGGUGCGUAGGCGGUUUGGUAAGUCUAUAGUUUAAUUUCAGUGCUUAACACUGUUCUGCUAUAGAAACUAUCAGACUAGAGUGAGAUAGAGGCAAGUGGAAUUCCAUGUGUAGCGGUAAAAUGCGUAAAUAUAUGGAGGAACACCAGAGGCGUAGGCGGCUUGCUGGGUCUUUACUGACGCUGAGGCACGAAAGCGUGGGGAGCAAACAGGAUUAGAUACCCUGGUAGUCCACGCCGUAAACGAUGAGUACUAAGUGUCGGGGAAACUCGGUACUGAAGUUAACACAUUAAGUACUCCGCCUGAGUAGUACGUACGCAAGUAUGAAACUUAAAGGAAUUGACGGGACUCCGCACAAGCGGUGGAUCAUGUUGUUUAAUUCGAAGAUACACGAAAAACCUUACCAGGUCUUGACAUACUCUGCAAAGCUAUAGCAAUAUAGUGGAGGUUAUCAGGGAUACAGGUGGUGCAUGGUUGUCGUCAGCUCGUGUCGUGAGAUGUUAGGUUAAGUCCUAAAACGAGCGCAACCCUUGUCACUAGUUGCCAGCAUGUUAUGAUGGGCACUUUAGUGAGACUGCCAAUGAAAAAUUGGAGGAAGGUGAGGAUCACGUCAAAUCAUCAUGCCCCUUAUGAUCUGGGCUACAAACGUGAUACAAUGGCUGUUACAAAGAGUAGCUAAAACGCGAGUUUAUAGCCAAUCUCAUAAAAGCAGUCUCAGUUCGGAUUGAAGUCUGCAACUCGACUUCAUGAAGUUGGAAUCGCUAGUAAUCGCGAAUCAGCAUGUCGCGGUGAAUACGUUCUCGGGGUUUGUACACACCGCCCGUCAAACC
rnacentral:rRNA from 1 species